GGUAAAUGUGGCUGUAAAUAGCAAAGGGUCAUGGUAAAUGUGGCUGUAAAUAGCAAAGGAUCAUGGUAAAUGUGGCUGUAAAUAGCAAAGGAUCAUGGUCGGUGUAGUCGUUUUCAUCCUGGCUGAGUGAGUCUAACAGGCCUGUGAUUGGUCUGUGUCAGCAGAUGGUCCUGUGUGACGACAAAUGUAGUAGUCAGAAUGGAUCACUAUUUCAUUAAAUAUCUCCAUUGGUCAAGAAUUCACCGUGGGGAUCGAACUUGAUCAUAAUAAACCAAAUUUAGAGCCCAAAACGGGGGUCUAAAUGUUUGGGUUUGGCCGUUUUGGCGAUCGUAAUUAACAUAUGCUUUCUAGGGCAGACCAGGGCUUUUGGCACCGCUAGGUUGCUAUGCAAUAGCAUACCAGGGCUUUUGACACCGCUAGGUUGCUAUGCAAUAGCAGACCAGGGCUUUUGGCACCGCUAGGUUGCUAUGCAAUAGCAGACCAGGGCUUUUGGCACCGCUAGGUUGCUAUUCAAUAGCAGACCAGGGCUCUUGGCACCGCUAGGUUGCUAUUCAAUAGCAGACCAGGGCUUUUGUCACCGCUAGGUUGCUAUUCAAUAGCAGACCAGGGCUUUUGUCACCGCUAGGUUGCUAUUCAAUAGCAGACCAGGGCUCUUGGCACCGCUAGGUUGCUAUUCAAUAGCAGACCAGGGCUUUUGGCACCGCUAGGUUGCUAUUCAAUAGCAGACCAGGGCUCUUGGCACCGCUAGGUUGCUAUUCAAUAGCAGACCAGGGCUUUUGUCACCGCUAGGUUGCUAUUCAAUAGCAGACCAGGGCUUUUGUCACCGCUAGGUUGCUAUUCAAUAGCAGACCAGGGCUUUUGGCACCGCUAGGUUGCUAUUCAAUAGCAGACCAGGGCUUUUGGCACCAC